rnacentral:rRNA from 1 species
GGUUACUGCUAUCGAGGUUCGACUAAGCCAUGCGAGUCGAAUGUAGCAAUACAUGGCGAACUGCUCAGUAACACGUGGACAACCUGCCCUUAGGUUGGGUAUAAACCCGGGAAACUGGGUAUAAUACCCGAUAGGUCUCGAUUGCUGGAAUGCAUCGAGAUUUAAAGCUCCGGCGCCUAAGGAUGGGUCUGCGGCCUAUUAGGUAGUAGUGGGUGUAGCGUACCUACUAGCCUACGACGGGUACGGGUUGUGAGAGCAAGAGCCCGGAGAUGGAUUCUGAGACACGAAUCCAGGCCCUACGGGGUGCAGCAGGCGCGAAAACUUUACAAUGCUGGCAACAGCGAUAAGGGAACCUCGAGUGCCAGGUUACAAAUCUGGCUGUCGAGAUGCCUAAAAAGCAUUUCAUAGCAAGGGCCGGGCAAGACCGGUGCCAGCCGCCGCGGUAACACCGGCGGCUCGAGUGGUAACCGUUAUUAUUGGGUCUAAAGGGUCUGUAGCCGGCCGGAUAAGUCUCUUGAGAAAUCUGGCAGCUUAACUGUCAGGCUUUCAGGAGAUACUGUCUGGCUCGAGGCCGGGAGAGGUAAGAGGUACUACAGGGGUAGGAGUGAAAUCUUGUAAUCCUUGAAGGACCACCAGUGGCGAAGGCGUCUCACCAGAACGGACCUGACGGCAAGGGACGAAAGCUAGGGGCACGAACCGGAUUAGAUGCCCGGGUAGUCCUAGCCGUAAACGAUACUCGCUAGGUGUCGGCCACGGUGCGACCGUUGUCGGUGCCGUAGGGAAGCCGUGAAGCGAGCCACCUGGGAAGUACGGCCGCAAGGCUGAAACUUAAAGGAAUUGGCGGGGGAGCACCACAACGGGUGGAGCUUGCGGUUU